UUACGACCAUAUCACGUUGAAACACCGGUUCUGGUAUGAUCGCCGUUGUUAAGCCAGGUCGAGCCUGGUCAGUAGCUAAAUGGGUGACUGUUUGGAAAUACCGGAUGCU